CUUGGUCAUUUAGAGGAAGUAAAAGUCGUAACAAGGUUUCCGUAGGUGAACCUGCGGAAGGAUCAUUAUUGAAUUUUUGGGGGUUGUAGCUGACUCUUUCAGAGUAUGUGCUCGCCUUCAACUCUUCUCUUUACCACCUGUGCACCUUUGUAGUCUCUUGAUACCUCUCAAAGAGUUUAUUCUCUUUGGAUUGAUGGACUUGCCUUCAUUGGCUUGUCUUCAAUUUCAUGAGACUAUGUCUUACAAACUCUAUACAAAACCAGAAUGUCUUUUGUAGUGUCUUUAUAUGACCUAUAAACUUAUACAACUUUUAACAACGGAUCUCUUGGCUCUCGCAUCGAUGAAGAACGCAGCGAAAUGCGAUAAGUAAUGUGAAUUGCAGAUUUCAGUGAAUCAUCGAAUCUUUGAACGCACCUUGCACCCUUUGGUAUUCCGAAGGGUAUGCCUGUUUGAGUGUCAUUAAAUUCUCAAACCUUCAACUUUAUUGUUUGAAGGCUUUGGAUGUGGGAGUCUUUGCUGGACGCUCUUGAGUGGUCAGCUCUCCUUAAAUGCAUUAGCGGUUACUGAUUCCGCUACUUGGUGUUGAUAGUCUAUCUUACGCCCUGUAGUCGAAAUCAACUUAUGUAUCUGCUGCUAAUCGUCGCUCUUUUGUGACAAUUUUAUUGACUCUUUGACCUCAAAUCAGGUAGGACUACCCGCUGAACUUAAGCAUAUCAAUAAGCGGAGGA
rnacentral:rRNA from 1 species